rnacentral:misc_RNA from 1 species
GCAAACUUGGUCAUUUAGAGGAAGUAAAAGUCGUAACAAGGUUUCCGUAGGUGAACCUGCGGAAGGAUCAUUACUGAGAUAGGGUUCUUCUGAGCCUGACCUCCAACCCUUUGUUUAAACCACCUUGUUGCUUUGGCAGGCCCGUCCUUGGGGACCGCCGGGAGUGUUUAGUCACCCUGGCCAGUGCCUGCCAGUAGCCAAUUUAAAUUCUUUUUAAUCAUGUUGUCUGAAAAAAAUAUUAAAAUUUUAAAAACUUUCAACAACGGAUCUCUUGGUUCUGGCAUCGAUGAAGAACGCAGC